UGUCAAGGGGAGUCCUAACCG
rnacentral:miRNA from 1 species